UUAAGUAUUGUGGGGUGCAUGUGUUUAUGCAUGUCAGUGUACGUGCCACCUCACAGCAUGUGGAUGCCUCUGUCUCGUCCCUCCCUAACUAGGUUUGCAGGGUUAAAUUGAGUGUGUGACUGCAUAUAAUUCAAUCGCAGAACAGCCCCAUUUCCCUCUGCCUGCCUGCUUGGUCCUACUGAUUCAACACAACAGCAGCAGCACAAAAUCUAUACCAAUAAAUUUCACCUUCAAGGGGUUGCAUGUCCCAUCAUUCAAGGAUGCCCCUGCCAGACACCAAGCCAUAGCUGGUUAGAAACCAGAAGCAGACUGCAAUUGCCCCUUGGUGCUGAUGAUGAGUGUUUUUACCAUUUUUCAUUAUAAUGUAUAGUUAUAAUUACUAAACUCAGGACAGCGCCUUCAAAAUACAUCCACACUCACCCAGUACUGUCAGCAAUGUGUUUAUAUGUUGUUAAAUCAAGGUUCAUGUUGGUCAUCUCAUUUGUUCUGUAAUGGCUGAAUGCUGUCCCCAUGAUUGAUUGUGCUUAUUUGAUGUGCAUCUUAACAAGGAUCAUGGGUCACUCUCAGAUCAGCCGCAGCAGUCAGACUUCAAUACUCCGAUGUGAUGUACGCACCAUUUCUACAGGCUACAUGGGCACUAAAUGUUCCUGAUGCCCUUCAGAGGUAUCACUCCCAGUCAUCCUGGAACACUGAAACAGGCAAGAAGAGAAAGCUUCACUAUGCAGAAAGGAGGCGGAGAUGACACCGCACAACAGAAAGGCUGCGAAGGAGUAAUGGUUUAAUUGCCAGCAAAGAGAAGAAUAAAGCAAAGGCUGUGAUUGUGUAAUAAGAUAUUUAUCUUGUUGUCAAAUAGAAUUACACCCAAACACAAGGUUAUAAUUACCAGUGAAAACACAAAAAGAAGCUCGUGAAUUCUGCUUUUAUUUUUUAAAAUGUUUGCUUCCAUUUCUCACACAAAUGAGGCAAAUUAUUUUCUCACAUUUAAACAUAACAUGAAGACAUUUGUGUUGUAUGCACACACAUACCACGUUCUCAAUUAAAGACCUUCUGUGAAGAGAGAAAAAAUACAUUAAACUCAUGAACAUGAAUCUCAUUUUACAUGUUCGUUUUCCCCUUGAUCUCAGCAUAUUGUACACCCUGGAUGCACGUCUGCCCAAACACAAAUACUCAAUGAAUA